rnacentral:lncRNA from 1 species
CCUGCCUCAGCCUCCUGAUAGCUGGGACUACAGGUGCCCGCCACCACGCCCGGCUAAUUUUUUUGUAUUUUUAGUAGAGACGGGGUUUCGCCAUGUUAGCCAGGAUGGUCUCAAUCUGACCUCGUGAUCCGCCCACCUCGGCCUCCCAAAGUGGUGGGAUUACAGGUGUGAGCCACCUCCCCGGCUGGUGCUACACACUUUUAAAUGACCGGAUCUGUGAACUCAGAGCAAGAGCUCUCCUAUCACCAAAGGAAUGGCUCAAGCCAUUCAUGAAGAUCUGCCCCCACGAUCCAAACACUUCCCACUAGGCCCCAUCUCCAGCACUGAGGAUUCCAUCUCAACAUGACAUCUGAGUGAAAAAAAUUAAUCUAUAGAGAGGAUAAUCACACAAGGUUAUACAAGUGGUUCAUAGAAGUGGAAAUUAUGGAACUGUGGAUGUGACAGAGCCAUUGCUGAAAAAUAUGUUUGUUGGCAGGCUCAUAAGCAGAAGGGACUCACCUUAUCUCAGAUAAGACGCUGGACUUGGACUUUUGUUAAUGCUGGAAUGAGUUAAGCCUUUGGGUUACUGUUGAGAAGGGAUAAUUGUAUUUUAAAAUGUGAGAAGGACAUGAGAUUUGGGAGGGGUCGGGGCAAAAUGAUAUUGUUUGUUUCUGUGUCCCCAACCAAAUCUCAUGUUGAAUUGUAAUCCCCAUGUGUCAGGGCUGGGACCUGGAGGGAGGAGAUCAGAUCAUGGGAGCAGAUUCCCCCAUGCUGCUCUUGUGAUAGUGAGUGAGUUUUCACAAGUUCUGAUGAUUUAAAAAUGUGGCACUUCCCCCGCUCUCUUCUGCUGCCUUGUGAAGAAGGUGCUUGCUUCUCCUUCACCUUCUGUCAUGAUUGUAAGUUUCCUGAGGCCACCCUAGCCAAGCAGAAAUGUGAGUCAAUUAAAUAUAUUUUCGUUAUAAAUUACCCAUUCUCAGAUAGUUCUUUAUAGCAGUGUGAAAACAGACUAAUGCAAUCAUUAUCAAGUAUUCUGUACUGUAUGUAAUUGAAUGUGACAUCACUUUUGUACAACUGGCAAUACAAUAAGCUUGAUUUCACUAACAUCACCACAAAAAUGUGAGUUUUUCAUUGUAUUGUGAUGUUACAAUGUCUACGAUGUCACUAGGCUAUAAGGACAUUUUAGGUCCAUUGAAAUCUUAUGGGGCCACCAUCGUAUAUGUGUUCAAUCACUAAUUGAACGUUUUUAUAUGGCAUAUGACUGUAUAGGUCAAACAUUAUCAAAUUGUAUACCUUAAAUAUGUGUAGUUUAUUGUAUUUCAAUUUUAUCUCAAUAAAACCACUUUAAAAUAUCCAUACUGUAAGGACUCAUCACCCCAUAACAAAACAAUGUUUCAAGAAUUAUGUAGAACAGUUUAUUUUUAAAAACCCACCAUCAUACAGAAAAAAAGAAAUCCAUACAGUAUAAAAAGAGUCUUCUCUCUUGAUCAUACUUAUGGCCAAGUUAUCAUCAGUUGUUUUUAUGGGGUACAUUUUUGUCUAAGUGUGCCACAUAUUAUGCUUACACAAAGAUAUCUGGUUUGUGGGACAACUCAUCUGUCCAUUUAUAGUUCUUAAUAAUCAUCUGCACUGUAACAAAAAGUAAUCCUAGUAAUGCUUAGUACAUUUCUCUUAAUAGUGAACAAAUGUCAACAAAAUUUACAUUCAAGGUAAUAUUGCUCCUUUGUCCUAUGGAAUAUGUACUGAGAAAAAAUAUGGAUUUCCAGCUAUCACCCUAUAUAAAUGAAAAGUUGUAGGCUCAUAAGUUAUUCAAAUUUCAAUUAUUCCCCCAUAAAAUAAAUGACUAGUCAUAAACAAAUUCAAAUAUUUAGCUCAAAUUUUUUGAUUACAUUAAUUUAUAUAAUAAAACACACCAAUUAAAAAUGAUUUUGGACAACAAAACUCGAGAUAGUCUUAAGCUAAAUAACAGAUUACAUUACUUUAUAUACAGCAUCUUCUUAUUUUUGUGAAUUUAUAUAUGUCAAAAUGAUGCACAGAUUAUUAUUCUGUAUCUAAUUAUGUAGUCUAAAUAUUUUAAAAUUUGGCUAAAAUACAGGAAAAAGUGACCAGUUUCUCAUAAAUGUGUUUAAUGUGUACUUCCUAAUAGCCUUGGUUUCUUAUAUUAUCAAAGCUCUUAUACAUCGACAAGUAGAUAAAUGUAGAACCCAGUAUACACUUAUAACAUGACUGCAGAGGGCCUAGAAAGUUGUCUCCUAUACUAAAAAUCAUGAAACAUAAUAAUAACAGCAACAGCAGUGGCAAAAACAUAUUGCUAUCUCCACAUCACCAACCUUCUAUCCACUAUGAAUUGUUCAUGUAACUUGAUUCUAUAGCAUUUACUUCUAUCAACAAGUAAUUAACAAAGAGGAAAAUUUUUCUCAUUUUAAAAUAAAAAUAAUUUUCAGAAGAGUUACAUGUCAUUAAAACAAUUGUAUAAUAUAGUUUAUCCAAUUACACUUAUUGAAACAUUUAGUGGGUACUCACUCUAUGCAUGCCACUAUGCUGGGGCCAGAGAUACGAGGAUAAAUAUGUUGCAUUUUUUGCCCUUAAAGUUAUUAUGAUCUUCUAUAGGAAAUAGAGAAAAAUUGAUCAAUUAUUAUAUACAGCAGCAGUCUCCAACCUUUUUGUCAUCAGGGACCAGUUUGUAGAAGAUAAUUUUUCCAUGGACCAAGGCAUAGAUGGUUUGGGGAUAAAACAGUGCCACCUCAGAUCAUCAGGCAUUAGAUUCUCAUAAGGAGUGUGCAACCUAGAUCCCGCACAUCUGUGGUUCACAAUAGUGUUGUUAGAGCUCCUAUGAGAAUCUAAUGCAGCUACUGAUCUGACAGGAGGCGGAGCUUAGGCGGUAAUGCUGUCUAACCCACUGCUCACCUCCCACUGUGUGGCCCAGUCACCAACUGGUACCAGGGGUUUAGGGACCCCUGAUAUAUGGCGUUUGCAAGUAGUAUAAAAAUACACAUGAUAGCCCUUUACCCAAGAUAGUGUGCUAGUGUGUGUGUGUGUGUGAGUGUGUGUGUGUAUGUGUGUGUGUGUGAGAGAGAGGAUAGAAUUAGAAAUGAGAACAGGUUCAGGGGAGGCCUCUUCAAGAAUAAGUGAGAUUGCUCUUGAAAUAAAUUUUGAAGGAUAACUAAGAGUUGAUGAAGCAAAGGAAGGUAGGCCAGUAUUCACAUGCUAGGAAACAACCCAUUUAGAGGCUCAAGGAAAGCUUGCACAUUCAGGAGCCUGCAAAUUGUUGACUAUGACUAGAAUGUAGAGUGUAAAGAAGAAAGUGGCAGUAGAGAGAAAUAAAGGUGAGAUGCAGAGAAUUAAAAUCAUCAUGACCUUGUAUUGUGUGUUAAAAAGUUAAGACAUCAUCCUGAUCAUAUUUUUUCCCUCUAAUAAUUUUAGCUAAGAGUAGUCAUUACGAAAAAGAAGACUUUUAUGACUUUUAUGGGGAGAAUGAGGACAGCACUAACAUUUAUUGAAGACCUGUUUUGUCUGAUGGUUAGGAAGAGUCUGACUCCAUGUUUUAUAUUUGACUGCACAGCAUUUAGGCUCCUACCCUGCCCUGCCCAAACACUAUAUAUCUGGUACUAUAGACAAAUAAACCUGCAUGCCUUUUGAGAUUUUGGGUCCUGUGGAAAUUUGAACUUCACAGCCCCAGACUGAAUGUGAGAACUCCUCUCCAGCCCCACUCUCUCGCCAUUACAAAAGUCAAACCAACUCUCUGCUCAUUGUUCUUGCCGUUCUAGCCAGAUCAGCUUGCAGUUACCUUGCUCUAUGUACAAUUUCCUGAUGUGAAUAAUAAACUCCUUGCAAAUUAUCAAGGUGUGUGAAGUGUCGUCAGUCUGGAUAUGUGGCCUAUUAACUG